UCGUUUCCUUAUGGACAGACCCGUGAAUACGUGACCCUUCACUUGUGUUGGAGAAUGUCUGGUCNGCGCAUCGGCAUCUCUCCACAGGCCUGCCGCCUUGCGCAUUGCCUUGUUGUGGGUUCUUUUCAUCUGCACCGGGUGAAGCGGAAGGCGCGCAGCCGAAGCAAACACAAAACGGCGCUGCAUGCGUCAAGGAACUUAACUAGAGGAAUGGGCACCCUGAUGCGAUGAGCAGUGGGGAUGACCCUUUGCCUUCAACAAAACGACUCUCGGCAACGGAUAUCUUGGCUCCCACCACGAUGAAGAACGUAGCGAAAUGCGAUACUUGAUGUGAAUUGCAGAAUCCCGUGAAUCAUCGAGUCUUUGAACGCAAGUUGCGCCUGAGGCCAUUUGGCUGAGGGCACAUCUGCCUGGGCGUCACGCUAUGCGUCGCUCCUCCUCCCCACCCUGAGUUCGGAAUGGAUGGAGGGAGGAGCGGAGGAUUGGCCUUCGGUGCAUUUUUUAUGGGUGUGCCGUCGGCUGAAAUGUUGGCUCACGGCACGAUGCGGUGAGGCAAGCGGUGGAUUACCAUAGCCGMGCACUCUGUGUGCGGUGGAUUGCCGCAGCUCGCAGGAAGUGUCGGGAGUUUGCUGGAACUCUAAAGGCGAUUUCUCGUCUCAGC
rnacentral:sRNA from 1 species